UACGGGGGGGGCAAGCGUUGUUCGGAAUUACUGGGCGUAAAGGGCUCGUAGGCGGCCAACUAAGUCAGACGUGAAAUCCCUCGGCUUAACCGGGGAACUGCGUCUGAUACUGGUUGGCUUGAAUCCGGGAGAGGGAUGUGGAAUUCCAGGUGUAGCGGUGAAAUGCGUAGAUAUCUGGAGGAACACCGGUGGCGAAGGCGGCAUCCUGGACCAACACUGACGCUGAGUGAGCGAAAGCCAGGGGAGCAAAGCGGG
rnacentral:rRNA from 1 species